CUUAGGAAAAGAAAAUUCUGAUAGAGAAGAAAAUGACACUUGAGAAGAUGCUUCAGCAGAUGAUGUCAAGGAACGAAGACAGCAAACGGUGCCUGGAUCUCCAGCAGCAGAUUUCCACUCUUCAGGAGCAGAUUGGCCACCUGCAAUGCGUGAUCCGGGCCCAGCACCACAGCCUGCGCGGUGUGAUACAGGAGGUGGAGGAACUCAACAACGAACUCAGAAGCCAAGAUGAAAAAAUAGAAAACCUGACAGAGAAGCUGGC